rnacentral:rRNA from 1 species
GAUGAACGCUGGCGGCGUGCCUAAUACAUGCAAGUCGAGCGAACAGACGAGGAGCUUGCUCCUCUGACGUUAGCGGCGGACGGGUGAGUAACACGUGGAUAACCUACCUAUAAGACUGGGAUAACUUCGGGAAACCGGAUCUAAUACCGGAGAAUAUAUUGAACCGCAGGGUUCAAUAGUGAAAUACGGUUUUGCUGUCACUUAUAGAUGGAUCCGCGCCGCAUUAGCUAGUUGGUAAGGUAACGGCUUACCAAGGGAACGAGGCGUAGCCGACCUGAGAGGGUGAUCGGCCACACUGGAACUGAGACACGGUCCAGACUACAACGGGAGGCAGCAGUAGGGAAUCGUCCGCAAUGGGCGAAAGCCUGACGGAGCAACGCCGCGUGAGUGAUGAAGGUCUUCGGAUCGUAAAACUCUGUUAUUAGGGAAGAACAACUGUGUAAGUAACUAUGCACGUCUUGACGGUACCUAAUCAGAAAGCCACGGCUAACUACGUG